rnacentral:rRNA from 1 species
AGAAUCAACGCUGGCGGCGUGCCUAACACAUGCAAGUCGAACGAGAAAGUGGAGCAAUCCAUGAGUAAAGUGGCGCACGGGUGAGUAACACGUGACUAACCUACCCUUGAGUGGGGGAUAACCUAGGGAAACCUGGGCUAAUACCGCAUAAUACCUUCGGGUCAAAGGAGCAAUUCGCUUAAGGAGGGGGUCGCGGCCGAUUAGUUAGUUGGCGGGGUAAUGGCCCACCAAGACUGUGAUCGGU